rnacentral:rRNA from 1 species
GAUGAACGCUAGCGGCAGGCCUAACACAUGCAAGUCGAGGGGUAGAAGUUGCUUGCAACUUUGAGACCGGCGCACGGGUGCGUAACGCGUAUGCAAUCAGCCUUGUACUGAGGGAUAGCCCAGAGAAAUUUGGAUUAAUACCUCAUAGCAUUAUGAUGUGGCAUCACAUUAUAAUUAAAGUUCCAACGGUACAAGAUGAGCAUGCGUCCCAUUAGUUAGUUGGUAAGGUAACGGCUUACCAAGACGAUGAUGGGUAGGGGUCCUGAGAGGGAGAUCCCCCACACUGGUACUGAGACACGGACCAGACUCCUACGGGAGGCAGCAGUGAGGAAUAUUGGUCAAUGGGCGCAAGCCUGAACCAGCCAUGCCGCGUGCAGGAUGACGCAUCUAUGGUGUGUAAACUGCUUUUGUACAGGAAGAAACACUCCCUCGUGAGGGAGCUUGACGGUACUGUAAGAAUAAGGAUCGGCUAACUCCGUGCCAGCAGCCGCAGUAA